CCAGUGGGAAUUUCCAAGAUGGCUGCCGAGCCAACUGACUUGCGUUCUUCGAUCCCACAGGCGUUUCUUCCUGACAGUUCGGCCACGCUCCAAAAACACCUCAGUUUCUCCUCCAUAACUCACAUCCAGAAAGCCCAAAUGACCUGAGGUGAGACCGAAAUGCAUGAAAAAUGAAAUAAUGGCUGAAAUGGCAGCGCUCCUGCUGGCUGACAGGUGUUUGUGGAAGUCACAUCAGCAUCCGGCGUCAGAGACACGGGUGACAGGAUUUUCCCCAAGAGGACGCAGAUUUAUAUUGGCGCUCUCCACUCAUCUCAUUAAGUUCAUGAAUAUUUUUAAUAACUAAUGAUGCGUUAUUGCAGCUGGGAAUGAUUAAGCAACUGUGGUGUAAAGAAGUACGUGACUGGAGGAAUAUUAUUAGUGCAGACAAUGUUUAAUUUAUAAUGAUAAAGCAUCAGUGAUUUUGCUGAGGUGUAUUUGUGUUUUUAUGAUUUAUAUUUUCCGAAUUAAAACCAAAUUUGUAGUAGAAAGAGAUCAUAAUAGAGUAAAACACACAGUCACUGAACAGCUGGAAUUUAGUAAUGUUUUAAUAUUAUAUUUUAUAUUAAGAGGCUUGGCAUGAUCUUUCACAAUUUUUAUUGUUUAAAAGUAGUCAUUUUUGGAAAAUAUUAUGA